GCGUCAAGUCUGAUUGCUGCGCAAAAUUCGCAACAAGCCUGUCACCCCAGACAGGCUUUCGGAGCAACGGAGGUUCGAGACCUGAGAUUUGGCAUCGUUUCCUGAAAUCGAUUCCGGCUUUCGUGGCCGAUGCGCCGAGGGCCGUUCGCGACAUCGGCGACCGGCGCGAUAGCGUUGCUCAGGUGACGGCUGGCACGGCUACCAACUGAAGGAAGACGAGGCUGGCAGCAUGGCCAUGCGCCAGCCUCCGUCCCCGGCUCACCCCCCAGCAAGCCCCGACAGCCUGACUCCUGUUGAACACGGUGCGCGAAAUCGACUUCAGCCCCACAUGGAUGGCGAUGCGUACACGUAAAACCGCCGCCGCUUUUCACGACGGUUGAGUGCCGCCGAACUACGCUUCCACCUACGGUCGUUCGCCUCCCGCGCCAACCGCAUCCGUCAGAUGCCGAUGAGAUAUCAUUCGACGGAAGGGCUUCAAAGUCAACCAUAGACUGCGGCUUCUACUUCAUGCAACUUUAUGGUUCUAUUCCCGAGCGCCUGAUUGCACGUCUUUCCCGCUUUGCCUAGGCCGUUCGCCCUGCUAAAGGCGCGGGCCAUGACCACACCGCUCAAGAACAUCCGCAACUUUUCCAUUGUCGCUCAUAUCGACCACGGCAAGUCUACGCUGGCCGACCGCCUGAUCCAGUUGACCGGAGGGCUGGAAAGCCGCGAGAUGAAGGAGCAGGUGCUCGACAACAUGGAUAUCGAGCGCGAGCGCGGCAUCACGAUCAAGGCGCAAACGGUGCGCCUGAACUACAAGGCGAAGGACGGGCAGGACUAUAUUCUGAACCUGAUCGACACGCCCGGCCAUGUCGACUUCGCCUA
rnacentral:misc_RNA from 1 species